GCCAUUGACAAUAGAUCAUACUUUAUUUAAUAUAGUAAGUGGGAAACAAAAUAAUUCAUAGAUGCAUGUUUCUAGUUUUCAUGGAGAUUCCAUGUUUCAAUGUCCUCUUUUCCUAGGUUUAUUACCAUUUUCUCCUUCACCUUUGUCUCCGUUAUCGUGGUUUCCUCCAUUGUCGUCUUCUUCAACGGGUGGCUCACUAUCGUGGUAUCCCAUGCCACCAAAGUUGUAUAUCAUGCUCUGUACCCAUUCUGAUGCCCAACCCAAUGCCAAAUCUCUCAAAGUUCUCCAAUCUACAAACCUUCUUAUUAAAGUACUAUAUUCGGAUUGCUCAGCUGCCACAAUAGUCAUAAGAAGGGGAACACAUAGAAAGAAUACUAAGAUAAAAAAUUUUGUUUUCAUCCCUUGCUUAAAUUUCUUAAAGUUUCUUGUAAAAUAUGAAUAAUAUCCUCAAAUAUUUAUAGUGAUCACGCAUAGAAAAAAUAAGAUAAUUUUAAAAGACAAAAACAUAUUGAAGAAAAUUAUAUUGCGUACUAAAAAAAAAGACAAUAUGUAUUCUAUGGCCAAUUGCGAAGACAAUGGGUCAUCAAGAUCCAUAGAGCCAUGGAAAAGUUAAAUAAAUUAGAACAUGUUUGCCUUUUGGAUCAUGAUAAUUUGACGAUCAAAGAGACGUUUUAUCCAAUUAAUCUUUUCUAAAAAGUUGCUUUUGGUAAAAUUGUUUCAGAAAAUAGAAUUUAAAACUAGGGAGUUGUAAAAUUUGACUUCCUAAUAAAUUUAGGAUUAAAGUGAUGUAAUGUCCAAUUAAUUCUAAAUGAAUGAUUUAUUUUGACUAUUAAAUGUUUUAAUAUUGGAAUAUUAAAUUUUUAGUAUCUAAAAAAUUUUGAAAUUUUAAUUUUAGUACUUAUUAAAAAAAAUUAUAUUUUUUAGUUUCUACAAAAUUGUUAUGUAAACAGUUUAAUUUAUACCAUAUUGGAACAUCAAUAUAAAUAUUUAAAUACUUUUUUUUUUGCAUACAUGCUGACAUUAUAAAAAGUUCAACAUAAAAAAUGAUAUCAAAAUUCAAUUUCUAGAUCUAUAUUUUAAAGACUUUUAUCUUAAAUAGACGACGUUUAAUUAAUUCAUCCCAAAUUAAAAAAAAAUUAUAUGAAUUAAUUUUUAAUAAUAUUCUAAACAUGCUUACAAUAUUAUUCAAAUAUUUAAAAGUUGAAGAAUAUUUUAUUUCAUCAGAGACUAAAAUAAUUUGAUUAAUAAUUUUAUAGGAAUUAAAAAAAAUGUAUGCAUACAUAAAAAAAUAAAAAAUUAUCAUCUUGGUUCUAAGAACACAACUAAAACAAAUCAAACGAUAACUUCUCGUUUUGAUUAUGAGUUAUAUUUGGUAUUUGUAAUAUUUUAUUUUAUUUUUACAUCUUACCUUAUUAUGAGUUGAUAUAAUUAUUCUGUAAAUUAUUGGUGAUAAUUAUUAUUGUAAUGUGUUAUUUUAAUUUUUAAUAAUAAUAAUAAUAAUAAUAAUAAUAAUAAUAAAAAAGGGAAUCGUUAAAAACAAAUUUCAGACGCUGGAAAUACACGUUUCCCAUUUAAUAUCACGUUUUCUAUUUAAUACCAUCCCUUUAAUACACGUCCCCAUAUAAUAACACACGUUACCCACUUCUAAUGAUAAAAAAGGAAUAAAACAAAACAUAAAAAGAAAUAAAACAAAAACGGGUUUCAGGGAGAAAAAGAAAGAAAUUCAAGAACUAAAUGAGUUACUGAUUCAUCCCUCAAGUAUAACACAUUUGAAGCAAAGACCACUGCGUGAAAAUUUUAAUUACGACACUCAUAUUGAUAAGGGGCAUGACUCCAUCCGCUUUUCUAAUUGAAUUAUUGUUUGUGUGUUAUAUUCGAAAUGAAUAUUAAUAAUUGUUGUGUUUGACAUGUUCAAAAUGUGGAAAAUAAAUGUUAUGUGAUAUGUUGUUAUAAUGGUUGUGUUGAGCAUAUUCAUAGUGUGAAGAAUAAAUGUUAUGUGAUAUGUUGUUAUAAUGGUUGUGUUGAACAUAUUUAAAGUGUGGAAAAUAAAUGUUAUGUGAUAUGGUGUUAUAAUGUUGUGUUAAACAUAUUCAAAGUGUGAAGAAUAAAUGUUAUGUGAUGUGUCGUUGAUAAGUUAGUAUCGCAUUAUAUUUUAUUAGAGUGUACACGAAGCCCUUGCGGGGGAAGCGAUAUUUCGGAAUCAUUAUAUAGAUUAAGUAAUAAGGUUUGUUGGAUAUGCAUUAAUUAAACUGUAGUGUGACUAGUGUUUUGUAAAGAUAACUGAUACAUUGUAUCUCCUGGUUUUUGUGAAUUAAAGUUAUAAAAAAUGUGAUAUUGUAUCUCCUGGUUUUGAGUGAAUUAACGUUAUUAAAUAUGUGAUAGUGUACUUCUAUAUCUUAUUAUUAAUUAGGUAGAUAUGGUAAUGUUAUAUUUGUAUUGUCAAUGUGGUUAGUCGUUUGAGUGAAUUAAUGUUAUUAAUUAUGCAAACAUUGUACUGUUAUCUUUUCAUUGUUAUUAUAUCUUUAAUGCGUUGUGAUUUUUAAUUGUUAAAUGGAGUACAUGAUUUACUUAUAUUUUUGCUAUAACAACUAUAUAUGCAUGCAUAUUUGCUAUGUGUUUGUUAUUUUGAGAUGACCCUUAUAUUUGACAGGACGUUACAUAUAGUGCUAUGUGUUUGUUAUAUUUUCAUUGUUAUUAUACCUAUUGGUGCGUUUUGAUUUUUAACUGUUAAAUGAAGUACAUGAUUUAUUUAUAUUUUUGCUAUGAUAUCUCUAUAUGCAUGCAUAUUUGCUAUGUGUUUGUUAUUUGGAGUUGACCCUUACAUUUGACAGACUUGUUGGGUUAGCUUACCAAAAGUCCGAAGUUUAUGACCAACUGAAUUUAUGCUUGGGUAGUAAAAUAUCAACAGUUUUGGCUAUAGGAGUCUCUUUUGUUUAAUAUAUUAAAUUUAAAUUGUAAAUAUUUUGAUUCUUUAUUUUUGAAAAUAUAACUAAAAAUAUUAUUAAAUGAUUUUAAGAUAAAUGAGUAUUUAAAAUAAUUACAAAUGAAUAAAAGCAAAUUUGUAUUUUUACGUAUAGAAUUUUGUUAGUUAAUGUCCCGAAAAAGCAGGAUGUUAGUCUUGGUUAGCAUCCUUCUAAUCUGCUGUUGGGGAAUUCCUUGUGCCUUCAUUUUAUUGAAUGGAUUUUUCUUUGUCCGAAGAAGAACAAACCAUUGUUGAGUGUUUGCCGUUAUAACCAAUUAUUAAAAUAGAGUAAUAUUAAUGGAAAUGCACAAUUGCUCCUGCGAUCCCUUAACUUAAUUUUAGAUAACACUUUAAUUUUUUUUAAUUGGUCUUUUAUUUAAUAUUAUUACAAAAAUUCGAAAAUAUAAAGAAUGAAAAUAUGAGUUUAUUUAAAGAUUUAAGAUAUUUCAUCGACGUUGUUUCCAUAAAUUAUGAUCUCAUCAACAUAUAUCACUAAGGCAGUAAAGGACGAGCAAAUGGAUUUAAUGAAUAAAGAAUGAUAUGAAUUAGAUUGAGUAUACUCUUUUGAAAUGAGAGUGGAGGAAAGUCUAGCAAACCAUUGCUUACUAGACUAUUUUAAACCAUAAAGAGGUUUUUGAAGUUUACAAACAAUAUUUGGAUUAUGAGCCAAUAACCCAAGUAACAAUUGCAUAUAGACUUCCUCUUCUAAAUUGCCAUGUAAAAAAGCAUUGUAAACGUCUAACUUAUGAAAAUGUCAAUUAUGAGAUGAUACAAGAGCAAGUAAGAGUCUUACGAUAAUGAGCUUAGCUAAAGUGAAUAAGUAUCAAAAUAAUCAAUUCCUUCAAUUUGGUUAAAACAUUUGGCAACAAGGCGUGCCUUAUAAUGUAUUAUAGAACCAUCAGCGUUAUAUUUUACCUUAUAAACCCAUCGACAACCUAAGGGCUUUUUAACACGUGGCAACUUAGUAAGAGUCCAAGUGUUGACUGAUAGAUUGCAUGGUCUGAACCUAAUUAUUAUAUGUGACAACUUGUUUAAAGCUAGUAGGGUCACGAACAACAGAAAUAAAGGAAAUAAAAUGAUAGAAAAAUUAUGACAAUUUUGACUAAGAUAAGACCUGGUAUAAACGAACAACAGAAAUAAAGGAAAUAAAAUGAUAGAAAAAAUAUGACAAUUUUGACUAAGAUAAGACCUGGUAUAAAUGAUACAAUAUAUUGGACUUAUGGCACCUAUCAUGUGCAAAAUUUCACUCAAAAUCUUGUAAGUAAGCAGGGACCUUGUUAGACCUUGAAGACCUACGAAUAGUAUCUUGAUGCUCAUCAAAAUCAAAGAUAGGGGAAGUAUGUAAAUUGUUGGGACUAGUAUCAAGACUAGAUGAAGGAGUUGGAGCAAAUAUAAUACUAUCAUCAGUGGAGUUAUUAACAUAAACAAUUAUUAGGCAAAAGCAUAUUAGUAUCAUCAAACAGAAUAAAGGAAUCGUGAGAAUCAUCAUUAAUAUGCAAGGAAGUAGAAUUAAGAUUAACAUAUGGAAAAACAUAUUCAUAAAAAUCUACAUUCCUAGAAACAAAGGUGACAUGGGUAUGUAAAUCAAACAUCAAAUAACUUUUAGUUCCUUAUCUAAAUCCAAGGAAAAUACACUUGGUGGCCCUUGGAUAAAGUUUAGUGCUAUAAUCACUACGCGAAAAAACGCAUUUUACAGCGCUUUUUUUAAGCCAUUUACAGCGCUUUUUCAAAAAAAUAAGCGCUGUGGAAACGAGCGCUGUAAAUGAUACAACAACGCUUUUAAAAAAGCGCUAUAAAACAUGUAAAUACAACGCGCGCUUGUUAUGCACAUUUUACAGUGCUUCUUCACAAAAAGCGCUGUAAUAUGCACCCCAUUAUAUGAGUUAUGGGUGUUCAUUUUACAGCAAAGCGCUCUAAAAUGCACACCCAUAACUCAUAUAAUGGGGGGCAUAUUACAGCGCUUUCUCAAACAAGCGUUGUAAUAUGCCCAACCAUAAUUUCAUAUAUGGGUGGGCAUAUUACAGCGCUUUUUUGAGAAAGCGCUGUAAAAUGCCCACCCAUAAUUUCAUAUAUGGGUGUGCAUAUUACAGCGCUUUCUCAAAAAAGCGCUGUAAAAUGCCCACCCAUAAUUUCAUAUUAUGGGUCUGCAUUUUACAGCGCUUUUCUUGUACAUUUUACAGCGCUUUCUCACGAAAGCGCUGUAAAAGGUGCACCAUUAAAGCGCUUUAGAACAACAUUUUACAGUGCUUUGUAAAAAAAGCGCUGUAAAAUGUGUGUUUUUUUUUUUUAAACGUUGUAAAUUAAUUAUUUGAAACGAAAAACGCUUUUUAGCUUUUUAUGGCAUUUUUUUUAAAAAGCGCUGUCUUUUAUCUUUGUAUCCAAAAUUAUUUUGAUCCAAAAUCACUUCACAAUCAGUGCACACAACAACAAAACAUAUUCAAAUACCAUAAGCAGUUCACACAAUCAGUAGAACAGAAAUCAGAACUCUGUAACUUUAUUAAUAUAUAUGUAACUCUGUAACUCUGUAAUUUACAACCUAAUUAACUACAUUCAGAUACGUAUAUAUAUAUAACCUAAUUUACAACCUAAACUACAUUCAGAUCCAUAUGCAUGUUCAUAUAUUGUGUCCUAUGAUCAUUUACAUAUAAUAACUAACAGAAUAUACAUUAUAUGCACUAGCUACCAUAUAAUAUUCAGAUCCCUUGCCCAGCAGCAAGCUAUUUCCCAGAAAAUCAAAUAAUUUUCAUGUCAAGCACGUACUGACACCAUUCUUCCUUUAAUUCCAUCAGAUCUUCCUCAGAAUAUGAUGGACUGGAAUUGGCAAAGUACUGCAAUAUAAAAAUUGAACAUAUUAUAUUAAGUUAGUAUCAAAUAUAUAGAUAAUUUAUAUAUGAAAAUCAUAUAAUGCAAAUACCGUACCGUUUCUGGGAUAAUAGUUUUAUUCUUCUCAACAAUCUCCUUCAUGAAUCUCAAUACGUAGUACCCACAGUCGAUGUUAUUUGUUUGACGAGGGCACUUUAUUGAGAUCCAUGUAAUGUUAUUAGACUUCUGCUUCGACACUUUAGCACCUCUUUGAGCUCGAUAAACUUUUAAGGCACUAUCGAAUGAAUAAAUGUGAUUAUUAGAGCAUGAAUAUUUAAAUAUAUAUAUAUGUAAGAAAUAAAUGAAUAUUACUUACGUGUCGAGCAUAUUCUUUAUUCCGGGGUGAUUGGUGUAAUCGCCGUGCACGGGAUCCAAAUAGUAUAUCACUUCAGAGACCGCAUUGAUUGCAAAUAGCACCCAAUGUGCCCUACAACAACAAAAAAUUGGUUAAGCAAUUUUGUUUAUAGACAACUAAUAAAUUAAAUUCUCAUCAAUUAAAAAAGAUAAAAUUACGUACCCUGAAUUAUAUGGUGCCAAGAACAAUUUAUCACUUUCUUUAUUUCUUAAAAACAUAUCUACAAUGUAGUGUUUUACAUUGUCUGGAUCGAGUUUGAACAUCGACAUCUUAUGCGGAGACAAGAAUGAGUAUUUAUUUGACAGUUUCCUCGUGCACACGACCUUCUCGUACAAAAACCUUCAAUGAAAAUUUUAAACUAGAUUAAUUACCAAUACAUUUAAUUAAUUACAAAUAAAUGCAAUUAAAAGUAUUUUUUACCUUAUGUACAAGCUGAUUACAGUAACACUCAGCUCCUUAUGUUCGAGAAGAUCGUACAUUUGCUCCUUUUCGAGGUAUUCAAUAUACUCAUCUCCAAAGAUGUCUUGAUUCAUUUGUACAAUGGGCGAAUCGUUGCUGCUGCCCAUGUUCCUUUUUAUUUGGAUGUCAAGACACGCCCCGUAUUUACCAAGGCGUGGCUGACUUUUAUUAGGAGCAGCAGCAGCAGCGACCGAUUUUCCCCGAUCCAGAUUUUUUGUUGCUGCAAGUUUUGCAGCUUUAUUACCCUCCAGCCUUUGUAGUUUGGCAGCCCUAUUAACCUCCAAUUUUUGAGGUCUGCUGCCUUUUUUUGGCUGUAGGGGUGGUUUAUUUAUUUGGACCUACAAAAAUGAGGUAAAAUGUUAGUUUAUUGAAUCUGAAAAAAUAAAAAACCUUAGGCAAUAAAUGUGACAAACCUUUUCGGGAGAUGUAACUGAUUUGUCCUUGGGAAUCUUUUUUUCGAGGGCAACAAGGUGUGUGGGCCAUGCCACGUAACUGCCAAUAGCGUCGCUUAAGAACUUCAUAUCUCCAUCGUUGUCCGGUAUGGGCAACGGUGCAGUUGGUUCGAAAGCAACCGUAGGCGAUACUUUGACAUGGCCCGCGGGGAUCGGAAUAUUGUGCAAUACUUCUCCCGAAGUAUUGUGCAAUAUUCCUUUUCCCACCUUCCGUUGAGUCGGCGAGGACAAGUAUAGGACACAUGUAGUGACACCCUACAUCAAUAGUUAAAACAUAAGUACAGUUAAUAUAUAAGUUUGUUUAAUACAUAAGUAAUUACAUAAGCAAGUAAGUAGUAAGUAAUUAAUUACCUCGGGAAUACUCUUCAAACCGACGUUGCAACUCCCGGUUUCACUCUCCAUUUGUAUUUCAGGUUGGAGCUGAACCGGAAGUUGCUUGUCUUUAUUCGUAUUCACCAAGAGUGCCACUUGCUCCGAUAAGAUUCUGAGCUUCUCUAAUACUUCCUCGUUGGAAGGUUUUUGGCGCUUCUCUUGAGGAAAAAAGCUUUUGGGAGUUACGCCAAAUCCUUUCCCCCUCACUCGACCGGAAUACUCAGGGACAUUAAACACUUUCCCAAGAAUGUCCCUGCACGUAUCCUUGUUGCCCUCUUGAGUUUCAGAACUUUGUUCAAUAGUUUCCUAAAAUACAUGUAACAUUAAAAAGAUAAGUUCAAUAGCAUUUUUAAAAUACAAUAUUAAAAAAUAUUAAAGUGAUAAUAUACUUACACAAAGUUCUACAACUUUCUUGACAUUUUCAUUAUCAACCACUCCUUCUUUGUUAACACGCGCUUCCUUCCAUAAGAUAUGACGACCCAAGGGUUGAUCGGCUUGGGUGUCUUUUCUCUAUUCGUUAAAAUCAUAAACAAAAUAAUACAAAUUAGUUACACACUAUAGUUUAUAAUACAAAUUACAAGUGAUGUUUAAUUACUUACAAUUUUUUGUUCAAGGCGUGCAUAUCCCAUACGUGAUUUCUUGUAUGGGUGUUUUGGGUUGCUUGCCCGUUCGCGAUUUGCCGUACUAAUAUUCUAUAUAAAAAAAAAAUUGCAAUUGUGUAAAAAUUUAAAAUACGCUACGAAUAUGAAUAAUAAAACACAAAUGCUAAUAAAUUAAUAACUUACGACAAACGCCGGGUCAGAACGUUUGGAAACAAAUGCACUCCAUUCAUCCUUUGAUAUAUAAUGUUGAUAUAUCUUUGGAGGUUCAGCAUUUGUGUUUCCUUCUCUAUCUUUUAGAUAGAAAUUUGAGAGAUGGGAUCUAAAUCCACGAUGGAUUUUCCCAGCAACUCUCAAAACAUAUGACUUUCGUUCCUCAUCAAGAACAAAAGUGGUCUGCAAUGAAAACAAUUAUAAGUAAUGUAUUUUACAGAAAAAAAAUUAUAAAUGACAAAAGAGUAGAUCAAAAUAUUUACUUGAAUGUCAUUCCAGAUGAUAUCUUUGGCAUCCUUCAACGCCUUAUCUCUCCAGUUGUCUAUUGUUAUUGGGACAUUUUGACGAACAACAGCCCCAAUGUAGCUUACAAACAUGGAGCUGUUGGGGUCAACUGGCUGACCACUCUCGUUCCAGCCAACCUAAUAAACUCAUAUAGUAAGUACAUGCCCUAAACCCUAAAAAAAGAUAAAAAAACACACAGCAAACAGAGUAUAUAUAGUAUACCUCAAAUUUAAUGCCACUGCUCCGUGCUUUAAUCACCCUUUGCAUGAUAGUUGCACCACGUUUGACUUCUUUUUCGUAAGUCUUAGAGGUGCCAACUUCUUCAUUUUGAACUUCUAAAUCUUUGUUUGUAUCCAUUUAACUACAACAAGUUCAACAUGCACUUUAGUAUAACAUCAACAAGCUCAACAUGGAUCAUGCAUUAUUAUAAACAAACUCAACAUGUAUCAGUAUAUCUUAAAAAAGCUCAACAUGCAUUUUAAUGAUUACAAAAAAUUUAUAACAUCAAUACCUGAAUAAUGGUUCGAAGAAAGAUGAAAUCUAAAGAAAAGAGGGAACGCAGAAAGUUCACAGAAAUAUGGUUCAAAGAAAUAGGAUAUUGAAGAAAUACGUAAUGAGGGUUACGUAUUUCAAUGAAAAUAUAUUGUGUGAAAUGGGAGAGAUGAUCUUGGAUGGAAAUAAGGUUCGAAAUGAAGGAGAUGAUCGUGGAAAUAAGGUUCGUAAAGGACGGGAUGAUAGGGUUUGCAAAAGAAGAGAAGAAAUGAAGGUUGAGAUGACAAUACCUGAAUAAUGAUGGUUCGAAGAAAGACGAAAUGCAAAGAAAAGAGGGUUUGCAGAAAGUUCACAGAAAUAUGGUUCAAAGAAAAGAGGGAACGGUAUUGAAGAAAUACGUAAUGAGGGUUACGUAUUUCAAUGAAAAUAUAUUGUGUGAAAUGGGAGAGAUGAUCUUGGAUGGAAAUAAGGUUCGAAACGAAGGAGAUGAUCGUGGAAAUAAGGUUCGUAAUGGACGGGAUGAUAGGGUUUGCAAAAGAAGAGAAGAAAUGAAGGUUGAGAUGAUAGUGAAAGACCUCCUUGUGUUAUUAUGUUAUUUGAAUACCUUUUACAGCGCUUUUACACAUAAGCGCUCUAAAAUGUCUCUUUAUCUUAAUUUUAAGAGGCUCUUUUACAGCGCUUUUCCCAAAUAAGCGCUGUAAAAGAACUCCGUGUGUUAUUAUGUUAUAUGAAUGUUUUUUAAAGCCUUUUACAGCGCUUUUCCACAUAAGCGCUCUAAAAUGUCUCUUUAUGUUAAUUUUAAAAGGCUCUUUUACAGCGCUUUUUCCAAAUAAGCGCUGUAAAAGGCCUUAUUGUUUUUGUGUUUUGUUAUGUUAUGUUAUUUUUUAAACAAGCUCAACAUGCAUGCAAAACCCACAUAGUAGUAACUGGUCACCACAAAAAUCCCUUCCUCUUCACCAAACUCUUCUCCUUUUAUGCAUCUUCUUCACAAACAUCAAAGCUUACUCUUUCACAAUUCAAUCUCCACCUCAACACCCUUUUUAUCUCUUUACAUUCUCUUUCCUUCUUAAAUCGAAACUUAAUUGGUAUUCAGGAUCAUUGCCAUGUUGCGAAAAAUGGGUUUGUGUCUGGUGUUUUUGGGGAUUCCCAUGAUGCGUACAAGGUGUUUGAAGAAAUGGGUUUGUGUCUGAUGUUUUUUGGAUUCCCAUGAUGCGUACAAGGUGUUUGAAGAAAUGGGUUUGUGUCUGAUGUUUUUUGAAUCCCAUGAUGCGUACAAGGUGUUUGAAGAAAUUAGGUGUCUGAUGAAUAUUAUUUUUAAAGCCAUUUUACAGCGCUUUGGCAAACAAGCGCUGUAAAAUGUCUUUUUUACUCACUUUCAAAAGAGUCGUUUACAGCGCUUUGUGUGAAAAGCGCUGUAAAAGGUAUAAAACACUCAUUAUUUUAUUUUUAAAAGGAUCUUUUACAGCGCUUUUUAAGAUAAGCGCUGUAAAAUGUCUCUUUAUUUUAUUUUUGUGUUUGGUUUAUUUGGGUUGGGAUGACAUUAAAAACAUUUUUAUCAUUGUUUAUUGGAUUAAAAAUAUUGUUAUCAUUGUCUUUAUCACAAUACUUUAGGAGAUGAUGAAUUAUUAGAAAUGAGUAUUCUGAAGAAUCUAUAUAUAUAUAUGCACUGAGCAAAAGAGAAUCUCUCUAUUCAGUUCAGUUCAGUUCAUGUAAAUUACUAAUUUAUAUUCAGUUCAGUUCAUGUAAAUCAAGCUAAAUAUAAAACACUCAUUGUUACAUGAACUUGGUAUAAAACACUCAAAUCAAGCUAAAUAUAAGCAGAAAAUAAAUUAAUCAGAAAAUAAAUUAAUCAGAACUUAGUAUAAAACACUCAAUUCAGAUUACAUGCAUAUUUACAAUAACACAGUUCAGAUUACAUGCAUAGCUUAUAUAAAACAAUUAAACAUAUAUAUACAUUAAGAUGCCCUUCUUCUUUUCCUGGUGACAUUCACAUUUGUUUGUCCAUUUACAAUACGAAACGAUGGAUUAAUCCAAAUUCCCUCAUCAUGAUCAUCUCUAAGAUAUAAACCAUCAUCAGUUGAAUCAAUUUCAUGUGGUUGUUGUGAUGUUGCAAAUAAAAGAUCAUUACCAACAUCUUCAUCAUUAUUGUUAUCAUCACUUAUUUUAUUGGUCGAUAGGACAACAGACCAUUUAUCAUUAGAAGGAUCAGUGACAUAAAACACUUGUUGAGCUUGCGACGCUAAAAUAAAAGGCUCGUCUUUGUAUCCCACCCUAUUAAAAUCGACAAGCAAGAAUCCUGACUCAUCAAUCCGAACGCCAUUAUUAUUAUCGACCCACUUGCAACCAAAUAUGGGAACACGAAACAUUGUGUAGUCUAACUCCCAUAUGCGCUCGAUAACCCCAAAAUAUGAUAGAUUUGCAUAUAUUGGGUUUUUGUCUUUUGCACUUGAGACAUGCAUCGCUUCAGCUACGAGAGUGACUCCACUAUUUUGCAUAGUGGUCUGAUCAUCUUGUUCUUUGGUAUAAAAUGUGUAGCCGUUAAUAACAUAACCAGUGUAAGAAAAGACAUGUAAGCUCGGACCAUUUGCUAGCCACCUCAAUCUAUUUGAAAUUGAUCCGGGGUCUAUAUCAAAUUUUGACAUUAUGUGAUUUUUUAACCAUGUUACAAAACUUCGAUUGUGCUCUCGAGUUAUCCAAUUUUGAUUCCUAUUCAUGUUCAAACGAGAUAACUGAUCAAUGUGUAUUGUAACAUACGGUUGAACCUCAUCAUCAUUGUGCAGAACAUACAAUUGUGCCUGCUCCCAUUCUGUCCUUGAUAUAGUCAGUAGUCUCCUUCCAGUUAUCCCUUCUCCUGAUAGUCUUCCCGAAUGACGAGACAUGGGAAGCCCUAUGGAUUCAACAUUGGACAGAUAUUCAGUACAAAAUUCAGCAGCCUCUUCAACAAUGUAUCGUUCAGCAAUACAACCUUCUGGUCGACUUCUACUUUUUACGUACCCUUUUAAUAUUUUCAUAUAUCGUUCUAUCGGAUACAUCCAUCUCAUAUAAGCUGGCCCACAAAGUUGUGUCUCCUUAACCAGAUGAACAGUAAGGUGAACCAUUAUAUCAAAAAACGAUGGUGGGAAAUACAUUUCAAGCUCACACAAAGUAACAACAAUUUCCCUCUGCAAUGUCGGUAAUUUCUGAGGGUCGAUCACUUUACUACAAAUUUCCCUGAAGAAGAAACAUAAUCUAGUUAAGGCUAGUCGAACUUUUUCAGGUAAAAUGGAACGUAUACCUAUUGGUAGCAAAUGCUCCAUUAUAAUAUGACAAUCAUGGGUCUUCAAACCUUUUAACUUGAGGUCUUUCAUACAAACCAAAUUUUUAAUGUUCGAAGAGUAUCCUUCUGGAACUUUAACUUCGUGUAGAAAUUUACAUAAAACAAUUUUUUCCUUUCUAGAUAGAGUAUGAGCGGCUGGAGGUAGAUAUGUGCGAUUUCCUUUCUUUACUGGAGCCAGUUCAUUUCUUAUUCCCAUAUCGACCAAGUCCAAUCUUGCAUUGACGCCAUCUUUAGACUUUCCUGGAACAUUGAGUAACGUACCAAUAACACUUUCAAAUACAUUUUUUUCAAUAUGCAUCACAUCGAGGAAAUGUCUUACAUACAAUGACUUCCAAUAUGGCAAUUCAAAGAAAAUUGACUUUUUCUUCCACCCAGUUUUCACCAGCUCUCCCGCAAAAGGUUUGCCAAAUUUAUUGGUCAAACCUUGUACUUUUUCAAGUAUUUGAUAUCCAGUCGGUGCUAAAGGAGCUUUACCUUCCUCUGAUUUUCCAUUGAAUGCAUUUCUCCACCCACGAUACUGAUGACUAUAAGGUAAAAAUCUACGAUGUCCAAGAAACACAUUCUUCUUACAAUGUUUCAACCGCAUCCAAUUUGUACUCUCUUCACAUAUAGGACAUGCACACUGACCUUUAAUGCUAUAUCCUGAUAAAUUACCAUAUGCUGGAAAAUCAUUAAUUAUGCCGAACAACAUAACCCUUAAAUUGAAACAUUCUUUCUUAUACCCAUCAUAAACUUCCACACCUGUCUCCCACAUACUUUUUAAAUUUUCGAUUAGAGGAGUCAAGUAUACGUCGAUAUCAUUCCCCGGUUGUUUGGGUCCAGAAAUUAACAGAGACAACAUCAUAAACUUACGCUUCAUACAUAACCAUGGAGGUAGGUUAUAUAUUACCAAAAUCACAGGCCACGUGCUAUGUGAGAUGCUUUGAAGACCAUGUGGAUUCAUUCCAUCAGUAGAAAGUGCAAGUCUUAGAUUUCUUGACUCUAUCCCGAAUUCAGGAUACUCGUGAUCAAUUUUUGCCCAUUGUGGGGAAUCUGCAGGGUGUCGAAACAUUCCAUCUCUAAUUCUUUCAUCUGCAUGCCAUGUCAAGUGUUUUGAAUCUUCUUCACUGCGAUACAUGCGCCUAAAUCUUGGUAUUAUAGGAAAAUACCACACGACUUUUGCUGGAGUAGAUUCUUUCUUCUUAUAUCGAGAGACAUUGCAUUUCGGACACGCCUUAAGUAGUUCAUAUUCGUUUCGAAAUAAAAUGCAAUCGUUAGGACACGCAUGAAUCCUUUCGUAACUCAUUCCAAUAGAACACAAAAUCCGUUUAGCCUCGUAGGUCCGACUGGGAAGUUCAUUAUCAUCUGGCAACAUAUCUUUUAUGAGUGUUAAUAAUUCCGUAAAGCUUUUAUCAGACCAUCCAUUACUCGCUUUUAAGUUGUACAACUUUAAUAUCGCUGACAGUCUUGUGAAUUUAGUACAACCAUUAUAUAAUUCUUUCUCUGCAUCACUCAACAAACUUUCAAACAUUUUAGGACAAUCUCGAAGAUCUUCUUCAACUGCUUUUGCAAUCUCAUCAACUCGGUCCGGCUCAUAUGUAUCUGUAUCGAAAUCAGUUGAAGCAUAUGUAGAACUAUUCUCAAAAUUAAUGUUUCCUUUUUUUUUCUCACCAUGUCUUAUCCAACAUGUGUAGCUUUGAUCAAUUCCAUUACAUACUAGAUGUCCUUCUAAUUCAUCUUCUCUAACACGUUUUCCAAAACAACAUUUUAAACAAGGACAAACUACUCUAUUUGGAUCUUUUGCAUUCUUCACUGCAAACUCAACAAACUCCUUCACUCCAAUUUCAUACUCUUUUGACAAUCGAUUGGCUGAAAUCCAUUUCCUAUCCAUAUUAUACCACCUAUAUAAAUGCAGUAACAAAAAUAAUAAGCUUUCAAAACAUAUCAACAAGUUUCAAAAAGAAACCAAUAUCAACUAACAAUUUCAAAACAGAACAGAUCAUGUGGUAUGAGUUUUUGACAAUUUUUGACAAUUUCAAAACAUAACAGAUCAUGUGUAAAAAAUACCUUAGACAACGUAGAUGGCCGCACAGUACGUAGAGGAUAUUAGGGUUCGCAACGUAUAUAAUUAUUUGAAAGAUGUAGAGGAUAUGAGGGUUUCCAACGUAUAUAAUUAUUUUAAAGAUGUAUUUUACAGCGCUUGUGAAAAACGCGCUGUAAUAGGUAGUUAAAUUCAAUGAAAGCGCAUGUGUUUUACAGCGCUUGUGAAAAACGCGCUGUAAUAGGUAGUUAAAUUCAAUGAAAGCGCAUGUGUUUUACAGCGCUUGUGAAAAACGCGCUGUAAUAGGUAGUUAAAUUCAAUGAAAGCGCAUGUGUUUUACAGCGCUUGUGAAAAAAGCGUUGUAAUAGGUAGUUAAAUUCAAUGUAAGCGCAUGUGUUUUACAGCGCUUGUGAAAAAAGCGUUGUAAUAGGUAGUUAAAUUCAAUGUAAGCGCAUGUGUUUUACAGCGCUUGUGAAAAAAGCGCUGUAAUAGGUAGUUAAAUUCAAUGAAAGCGCAUGUGUUUUACAGCGCUUGUGAAAAAAGCGUUGUAAUAGGUAGUUAAAUUCAAUGAAAGCGCAUGUGUUUUACAGCGCUUGUGAAAAAAGCGCUGUAAUAGGUAGUUAAAUUCAAUGAAAGCGCAUGUAUUUUACAACGCUUGUGAAAAAAGCGAUGUAACUGAUACGCGAAAGCGCUUCCUUUUACAGCGCUUUUUUGACAAGCGCUGUAAAAGCCUUAUAACGUGAUGCGCAAACGUUAUAUGACCUACUACAACGCUUGUUUUACAGCGCUUUGAAUCAAAAGCGCUGUAAUAGGUUCCGUUAUUUUUAAAAUAUAAUUACAACAGCGCUUGUGUUUAGCAAGCACUGUAAAAUGGGCGCUGUUAAAUGUCAUUUUUGGCGUAGUGAAUAUAGCAAAGUGGAAGCAAAAGCAAGACAUCAAAAAAACCUUUAAAUACAUAAAGUUAGGAGAUUGUUUAUAUAACCUUUCGAAAUGGGUCUUAUUAUGUAAACAGGAGGUAGUUCACCUGUUAAUAAGAGAAACAACGUGAUUAAUAGCAAAAGACAAAAAAUUCUUUGGUAGUUUAGAGUGGAAAAUAAGUGAUCUAGUCACAUUAAGAAGAUGAGGAUGUUUCCUUUCAACAAUUAAGUUUUCUUGGGGUGUAUCAACACAAGAGGUUUGAUGCAAUAUGCUCAAACUAGAAUAAAAAAGAGGCAUAUUGAAUUCAAGACCAUUAUCAUUGCUGAUUUUCUAGACUUUUGUAUUGAAUUGUAUUUUAACAAAGGAAACAAAGUUUUGAAGGAGCAUAUGAGUUUCAGAUUUAGCAUUCAUUAAAAAUAACCAAGAAAAUCAUGAAUAAUCGUCAACAAUAGUUGGAUAAUAUUGAUGACCAUCAAAAGAAGGAACAUUAAUAGGUCCUCAAAUAUCAACAUGUAUAAGGCUAAAAAUAUGUAAAGAAACAUUUUCACUACGCGGAAAAGGGAUUUUAGCAUUUUAUGCCCAAAUAAAAAGAGUCACAAAUCAUAUUUUUAUUAACUGAAAUGUAAUAAAAUCGUUUACACAUUUGUUGUAACAGGGUUAUUGAUGGAUGACCUAACCUAAAAUGUCAAACAUCAAAUUUAUUUGGUAUAGUGGCAUUAACAAAGGUAGUAUAAUGGUGAUUAGAAACAGGAGCAAAUUCAGUAGAAAAAACCAUAGCAGAGAUAUAAUAUGAUCAAGAAUAUAAAGGCUAUUACAAUGCUCCACAUGUCCUAUCGUCUUAUGGGUAUGCAAAUCCUGAAUUGUAUAAAAAUUCUUAGAAAAUAAUAGUUUGUAAUCCAAAUCAAGAGUGAGUUUUGAAAUAGAUAUUAAACUAAAAUUGAAUUGAUGAAUAAACAACCUAUUUUUCAAGUAAAGAUCAGAAGUAAAGUAAAAAUGUCCUAAAAAAUGCGUAAGAAUAUACGACCCAUUUGGAAAAAUAAUAAAAAUUGGUUCAAUUUGUUUCAUUGAAUAAAAACAUUUGAUAAAUGGACAAACAUGAUCUGAAGCCCCCGAAUCCAUAAUCCAUAGAGAAAAAGGAUUAGAUACGAAACCUGUAUUAGAAAUACUUGAUACUACGUGAUUGGAUUAAUCUGAAAUAGAAUUCUUGGUUUCGAAAGAAGUUACAUCAACAUAUUUAGAAUUAUGUAGCAGAUUAAUCAAAAUAUUAUAAUAUGUUUUGCUAAGAUGAUUGUUGAUUGUUGGAAUCGUGUUGCUGUGUAGGCUAGGAGAGAGAAGGAUUCUUAGAACCAUUUAUUGAAGACGAAUUCAAAGAUUGUUAUUUACGAUAUCAUAGUGGAAAGCCAUGUUUGAAAUAACAUGUGUCUACAAUGUGAUUAUUCUUAUGACAUCGAGUAUAAAACAUGGAGGGCCGAGGCUGACCACGACGAUGAUGGUAUUGCCUGCGACCUUGACCUGAAUUUUUGGAAGUAUUGAUAUUAAAAACAACAUAAGUAUCAGGAGGAUUAUGGUUUGAAUUGGGGACAAGGUCUUAUUGAAAAACGAAAGAAUGCACCUUGUUAAUAUAAGGUAAAGGAUCCAUGAAUAAAAUCUGUGUGUGAAUGUUAUUGUAAUUUUUAUUCAAACCUUUAAGAAAACAAGUGAUAUACUCUUGAUGCUUGAAAUAAUGAACUGUUGUGUUGAGCUUGCAAGAACGAGGAAUAGGGCAUAUGCAUGAUUGUGUUGGGCACAAAUCCUCCAAUUCACCCCAAAGAAUCUUCACAUUGGUGAAAUAGGUAGACAAAGAAUGUUCACCUUGUUUGAUUGAAUGAAGAUCACGAAUUAGAUUGGAAAAUCGAAAAUUAUUUCCUUGAAUGAAACGAUCACGAAGAUCAUACCAUAACUCUAAUGCUGAAUCAAUGCAAAUGGAGAACGUUAAAAACUCAAUAUUGAUUUUGAUUGUGAAAACGGAGAACAUCCUUGGUUCUGGAAACAGAAAAUGGAGAACAUUCUAGGUUAAUUAAAAUCAAUAGUUUAGUUUAUAUGUUUAACUUGAUAAACAAAAGGAUUGAAAGUAAAUAGAGAUAAGAAGAUAGAUGUCACAUAAUGAUAUAUCUUAGUUCACCUAACUCAGGCUAUGUUCAGUGUAACACCCCGUUUUUCAAAGCGAGGGUAUUUUUUUUUUUUAAAAGUAAUUAAAAACGAACGAAGAAAUAAAUCAGGAAAUGCUUUUGGAUAAAUAAUUGAGUCAUUAUAAUUUACGCAGCGGAAAAGUUUCUCCAAUUAUAAAUCCAAAACAUUUUUACAUAAACAUCAAAUGGUACAUGGAACCCAUUCAAAGAUGAUAUCAAACUGAUAAUAUUUAUAUAAGUACAGUUUUCCAAAACUAAAAUACUCCAAACCAAAGAGAAGGACCCCUAGUCCCUAUACAUCAUCCUAAUCUGAUCAUCCUACCAAAAACUAUACACCCUGAGUAAUCUCCACGCGCCCCGUGAGAUCCUCCUAACACAACCGCAGUCAAGCAUUCCCAUCUCCAUCCCUGUCCGUAGGGUACGAACCAGUAGGGCCGUCCUGACUCUCAUCUGAGGGCAAAGCCCAGAUUUCCACAAUAGUGUAAAGGGUCACCAACCAGAAAAUAACAGAUAACACAUAGCAAUUAAGUUUUUGAAUGCUCAAAACAACUUUUCAACUAAGCAUGCACCUUAACAGGAUUUUCAAUGUGCGAAAAGUUCAUACAUUACAUUGCCAAUGAAAAUGAAGGUAAAAUGCAGUUCUCGAUCUCCUAAUUAACACAUGAUAAAACAAGACAUGGAUAGAUUCAUGAGCAAUAAAUCAUACAACUAAAACUGAGGAUUUUCACUGAGCCAAUCGAUUGGGCAAUCGAUUGGGGUGAAGAUUUUUAAUGAAAACAGAAUCCUGGGCUGAAUUCAAUCGAUUGGUAAAUCGAUUGAUUGGUUCCCACAACUUAACACUUAGCAAUUCCUACGCGAUUACUACGACACACGAAGGUUCGAUAACCAUCAUACUCACACACAAUACACAACACAUAGCACUUAACACCUUCAUCUCAGUUAUCACGAUAAAUCAAAAUUCGAAUCACUCAAUCAUAAACUCAAAUCAAACAUGACUCGCGUGCCAGGCACCCUAAUGCAAUGCGUAUAUGCCAAAAUGCAUGGACUCGGAAUUCCAAACCAAAACCCUCCUCGAAGGGCCGUAAAUCAUAAUUGUACCGCCUAUCGCAGGCCAAAGUACCAAUUACCGAGGUGCCACCUAUCACGGGUCAGCACGAUUUACUAAAAUGCGUAAAUCAUAAACGUACCACCUAUCACGGGUCAGUACAGUUACCAUGGUGUCACCUAUCACGGGUCAACUCGAUUUUCUAAAUAGUAACUCGUAAACGUACCACCUAUCACGGGUCAGUACAGUUUACCGAGGUGUCACCUAUCACGGGUCAACACGAUUUACUAAAAGAAAAAGCGGGAAUCGUAAACGUACCGCCUAUCACAGACCAGUACUGUUUACCUAGGUGCCACCUAUCACGGGUCAGCACAAUUCACCAAAAAUGUAAAUCGUAAAUGUACCACCUAUCACGGGUCAGUACAGUUACCAUGGUGUCACCUAUCACGGGUCAACACGAUUUACUAAAAGAAAAAGCGGGAAUCGUAAACGUACCGCCUAUCACAGACCAGUACUGUUUACCUAGGUGCCACCUAUCACGGGUCAGCACAAUUCACCAAAAAUGUAAAUCGUAAAUGUACCACCUAUCACGGGUCAGUACAGUUACCAUGGUGUCACCUAUCACGGGUCAACACGAUUUACUAAAAUGUAAAUCGCAAACGUACAACCUAUCACGGGUCCGUACAGUUUACCAAGGUGUCACCUAUCACGGGUCGACACAAUUUACCAAAUGAAAUGCAUGAGCAUACACAGACUCCAUUCACAACAAUCGUUAAGCAAAUGCAGAUAUUAAAAGAUUCCCCAUUUUUAAUACCCAUUUAACUUAAACGACUUUCAAACAACAUUAAUUAAAUAAGUCAUUAAGAGAUUCCCCGUUCUUAAUACCGAUUUAACUUAAUGAUUUUCAAAACAAAACGUUAAGCAAACAGUCAUAUUAAGAGAUUCCCCAUUCUUAAUACUCAUUUACCGAAACGAUUUUCAAAAACGAUAGUUAAGUAACCGAGACAUUAAGAGAUUCCCCAUUCUCAACGCCCAGUUAACUUAAACAUUUUCCUCAAAUACACAUUAAGUAAACCGAGGUAUUAAAAGAUUCCCCAUUUUUAAUACUCGUUUAACUCUAAUGGUUUUCAAAUUCCACAGAAACAAAUUCAAACAUACUUUCACAUUCAAACCAUAAUUCACAACAACCACACCAAUUAACAAACAUCAAGUACGAACACACCAAAUACAACGAACACAAAUCACGCAACAUAACACCCAGAUACAUCAAAUUUCAUUUACCCAUAAUCAUACACAAUGACAUUCAAAUUCAUUUACCACGAAACAUUCAUCACUAUAAACAAAACCUAACUCUAAGGUUUUUACCCAUAACGCACUAGUUUCGUUUUUCCCCAAAUCGAUACAUUUAACCCUAACAAAUUCCUUCCCACACAACUACAGAUAAGUCCCUAAUGCAAGCUAGAAGUUUGGAAGGAGCCCUUACCUCAACGUUAGCUUUAUCGUGCGUUUCCGGUACCGCGAGAAAUUCCGGUAAAAUCUCCGCUCGCAACGCCGCUUCCAAAUUAGUUCACUAGCACCGUAGCGUGGUGGUGAGCAACUUUCCCUUCUAUCUCUUCGAGAAAUGAGGUUUGGAUCUAGGAGAAACGGAGGGGUUUGUGUUUGGAUCUCAAAACCGUUUUUCUUCGUUUUCGAAUCAAAGAGGAAGAGUGGAGUUGCGAAAACCUUGAUCUAACUCACACCCGACCUUGGGUCACUAGCUUUGAAGAAAAGGAAGCAACGAAAACGAAAAAUGGAGAAGGAUGGAUUUUUGGUUUUUCACGUGAGAUGUUCAGAGGAAGGAGAUGGAAUUCGAGAUUUUCCUUCCUUUCUAUUUCUUUCCUUUGUUUUUCCUUUCUUCCUUUUUCCUUCCUUCCUUUAUAUACUAUUUUCUUUUCCUUUUCCUUCCUUCUAGUUUUCCUUUCUUUUUCCCCCCAAACAAACAUAUAUAAAUAUAAUAAAUAUAACUUAACAAAUAUCUCAAAAUCUAGAUAUUUAUUAAAUUACCGUUUCACCCGAAACGCCUUAAAUUCUUCGUAAAGGAUUUUCCGCAGUUAAAUUCAAUUUAUUUAUCGACGAGAAAUUCUAAUUGGCAUCGAAAUAUCUUUUUGAUUAGAAAACUCCAAAAUAUUAUUAACUUUGGCUUAAAAGCCUCCGAGCCAAAAUCCAAAAUAUACCAAAAAUACAUAAAAGGGUACUUUAAAAUUAUGGGUCUUACAUUCAGUCCUUACAAUUGUGAUAUUUUCCACAAAGCGUUCAAAUGGAGAAAAUUCUUGGUUUUACACAGUUUUGUUCAGAUUAACCUUGAUAUGUAACAACAAUUCAUUUCCACUUAGAAAUGAUUCAAUUAGGUCACUUAUCAAUCUUUAGAGAGGAUUUUACAAUUCACCUUUUAUCCAUAAAAAUGAUUUUCUACAAACUAUAAACAACUAUUAUAGUCUUGAGUUUACAAUAAUGAUUUAAAGAGAUUGGUAGAAUCUGAGUAUGUUCAAAUCGUGUUUGAGAAUACAUUCUUGAUAAAAGAAAUACAUAUAACGGUUCUGAUAUUUUAAAAAGAAAACAUAAUUGAAUCUUUUGUUUAUGAUUGAGAAGUUUUCAAGUAUAUAAGUGUAUGUAAGUGAUGGAUUUCUUAACACUUGAAGUUCUAUUUUUCCUUGAACUUGAGGUUCUUUUUAUAGGCUUCAAGGAGGAUGAUGACAACUACUUUGAUCUUUGGAAAAUAUCCAGCUGUCAUGUGUCAAAUUUGACAAAAUUCGAUAACUUUUAAACCAUGAAUGUUUCUUGACUAGCUUCUCAUUCUUGACCGUGAUUUAUGGUCCUUUAUGCUCAUAGACAUCUCAAAGAUGUGUUCAAUGUAUUCAGAUCGAGAAUGUCUUUGAUUCGAUCAAAACAAGCUAGAGAAGGAUGUACACAUGUUGGAGAUUGAUUGUAAAUAUGCUGGAAAAUGAUGUUAUUUGUAACAUCCCGCUUUUUCGAGACAUUAACUUACAAAAUUCUAAAUGUAAAAAUACAAAUUCAUUUUUAUUUAUUUAUGAUUAUCUUAAAUACCCAUUUACCUUAAUAUCAAUUAAUAAUAUUUUUAGUUAUAUUUUCAAAAAUAAUGAAUCAAAGUAUUUACAAUCACUAAAAGUAAAUUUAAUACGUUAAACAAAAGAAACUCAUAGAGCCAAAACUAUUGAUGUUUUACUACUCAAACAUAAAUCCUAGUUGGUAAUAAACUUUGGAGUUGUGGAAAACUCACCCAAUAAAUCUAACACCCCACAAAAGUACCUCAAAACCUCCAACUAUAUACUUCCUCGCAUUUCUCCUAUUAGGUUGACUAUAAGCUCAAGUAACACUAUAUGUGACGUCGUGUCAAAUGUAAGGGUCAUCUCUAAAAUAUUUUACCAAUAAAUAAAUAACAAUCAAAAUAAAACAGUACAUUACCUACUCAGCCAACAAAAAGGUACAAUAACAAUGAAAAUAUAACAGUACAAUGUUUACAUAAUUAAUAACAUUAAUUCACUCAAACGACCACCUACAGUGACGAUACGAAUAUAACAUUACGAUAUCUACAUAAUUAAUAACAUUAAUUCAUUCAUCCAAACGACUACGAGGUACAAUAACAAUAAAAAUAUAACAGUACGGUUAUAUUUUAUAAAAAUGAAGUGAUUAAUUUUAUAAAAAUGUCAUAGAUAAAUUAUUAGGAGUGCAACAAGACAAUCAAUAUCACCAAAUGAAUGUGUUAUUAUUUUAAUUUUCAAUGAAAAAUUAAUUGUUGUUUUUUAAGUUUAUUUUUUAAUUAAUAUAAUAUACCUUAUUCUUAAGUUACAAUGAGAAAAUAAUGUUACAAUGAGAAAAUAAUAUCUAAUGGUUGGGUGAUGAGUACUAAAUGACAAAAACUAAUUUUUUUGCCUAAAACAAACAUGACAAUUUUAGUGAUAAAAAUUAAUGUAGCGAGUUGAACAAAAUAAUAUGACAUGUAACAUUGUAAUCAAAAGGCAAGUUUAAGUGAAAGAUGGUUCAUCAUAUAUAAGUAGACCAUACUUUAUUUAACAUAGUAAGUGGGAAACAAAACAAUUCAUAGAUGCAUGUUUCUAGUUUUCAUGGAGAUUCCAUGUUUCCAUGUCCUCUUUUCCUACCUUUGUCUCCGUUAUCGGGGUUUCCUCGAUUGUCGUCUUCUUCAACGGGUGGCUCACUAUUGCCGUAUCCCAUGCCACCGCCACCAUAGUUGUAUGCCAUGCCCUGUACCCAUUCUGAUGCCCAACCCAAUGCCAAAUCUCUCAAAGUUCUCCAAUCUACAAACCUUCUUAUUAAAGUACUAUAUUCGGUUUCCUCAGCUGUCACAAUAGUCAUAAGAAGGGGAACACACAGAAAGAAUACUAAGAUAAAAAAUUUUGUUUUCAUCCUUGCUUAAAUUUCCUAAAGUUUGUUGUAAAAUAUGAAUAAUAUCCUCAAAUAUUUAUAGUGGUCACGCAUAGAAAAAAUAAGAUAAUUUUAAAAGACAAAAACAUAUUGAAGAAAAAUAUAUUGCGUACUAAAAAAAAAGACAAUAUGUAUUCCAUGGCCAAUUGUGAAGACAAUGGGUCAUCAAAAUCCAUAGAGACAUGGAAAGGUUAAAUAAAUUAGAACAUGUUUGCCUUUUGGAUCAUGAUAAUUUGAGGAUUAAAGAGACGUUUUAUCCGAUUAAUCUUUUCUAAAAAGUUGCUUUUGGUUAAAUUGUUUCGGAAAAUAGAAUUUAAAACUAGCGAGUUGUAAAAUUUGGCUUCCUAAUAAAUUUAGGAUUAAAGAGAUGUAAUAUUCAAUUAAUUCUAGACGAAUGAUUUAUUUUGACUAUUAGAUGUAUUAAUAUUGGAUUAUUAAAUUUUUAGUUUCUAAAAAGUUUUGAAAUUUUAUUUUUAGUACUUAUUAAAAAAAUUAUAUUUUUUAGUUUCUACAAAAUUAUUAUGUAAACAGUUUAAUUUAUACCAUAUUGGAACAUCAAUAUAAAUAUUUAAAUACUUUUUUUUUGCAUACAUGCUAACAUUAUAAAAAGUUCUACAUAAAUAUCAAAAUUCAAUUUCUAAAUCUAUAUUUUAAAGACUUUUAUCUUAAAUAUAAGAUGUUUAAUUAAUUCAUCCCAAAUAAAAAAAAUUAAAAUUAAUGUGAAUUAAUUUUUAAGAAUAUUCUAAACAGGCUUACAAAAUAUUAUUCAAAAAUUUAAAAGUUGAAGAAUAUUUCAUUUCAUCAAAGACUAAAAUAAUUUGAUUAAUAAUUUUAUAGGAAUUAAAAAAAUGUAUGCAUACAUAAAAAAUAAAAAUAAAUUAUCAUCUUUUUAUCUUAGUAAGGGGUCUAGGAACACAACUAAAACAAAUCAGACGAGAACUUCUCGUUGAAUUAAUUAGAAAUAACUUAUAUUUGGUGUUGGUUAGCAUCCUUCUAAUCAGCUGUUGGGGGCAUUCCUUGUGCCUUCAUUUUAUUGAAUGGAUUUUUCUAAAAUGGAUUUUUCUUUGUUCAAAGAAGAACAAACCAUUGUUGAGUGUUUGCCGUCAUAACCAAUUAUUAAAAUAGAGUAAUAUUAAUGGAAAUGCACAAUUGCUCCUACGAUCCCUUAACUUAAUUUUAAAUAAUACUUUCAUUUUUUUUAUUUGGUCUUUUAUUUAAUAUUAUUACAAAAAUUCGAAAAUAUAAAGAAUGAAAAUAUGAGUUUAUUGGAAUAUUUAAGUUAUUUCAUCGACGUUGUUUCAAUAAAUUAUGAUCUCAUCAACAUAUAUCAAAAUAGAUUUAAUGAAUAAAGAAUGAUAUGAAUUAGAUUGAGUAUAUCCUUUUGAAAUGAGAGUAGAGGAAAGUCUAGCAAACCAUUGCUUACUAGACUGUUUUAAACCAUAAAGAGGUUUUUGAAGUUUACAAACAAUAUUUGGAUUAUGAGCCAAUAACCCAUGGGACAAUUGCAUAUAGACUUCCUCUUCUAAAUUGUCAUGUAAAAAAGCAUUGUGAGCAUCUAACUUAUGAAAAUGCCAAUUAUGAGAUGAUACAAGAGCAAGUAAGAGUCUUACGAUAAUGAGCUUAGCUAAAGUGAAUAAGUAUCAAAAUACUCAAUUCCUUCAAUUUGGUUAAAACAUUUGGCAACAAGGCGUUCCUUAUAACGUAUUAUAGAACCAUCAACGUUAUAUUUUACCUUAUAAACUCAUCGACAACCUAAGGGCUUUUUAACACGUGGCAACUCAGUAAGAGUCCAAGUGUUGACUGAUCGAGUAGCUGAGAUUGCAUGGUCUGAACCUAAUUAUUGUAUGUGACAACUUGUUGAAAGCUAGUAGGGUCACGAACAGUAGAAAUAAAGGAAAAAUAAAUGAUAGAAAAAAUAUGACAAUUUUGACUAAGAUAAGACCUGAUAUAAAUGAUACAAUAUAUAGGACUUAUGGCGCCUAUCAUGUGCAAAAUUACACUCAAAAUCUUGUAAGUAAGCAGGGACCUUGUUAGACCUUGAAGACCUACAAAUAGUAUCUUGAUGCUCAUCAAAAUCAAAGAUAAGGGAAGUAUGUAAAUUGUUGGGACUAGUAUCAAGACUAGAUGAAGGAGUUGGAGCAAACAUAAUACUAUCAUCAGUGGAGUUAUUAACAUAAACAAUUAUUAGGCAAAAGCAUAUUAGUAUCAUCAAACAAAAUAAAGGAAUCAUGAGAAUCAUCAUUAAUAUGCAAGGAAGUAGAAUUAAGAUUAACAUAUGCAAAAACAUGUUCAUAAAAAACUACAUUCCUAGAAACAAAGGUGACAUGAGUAUGUAAAUCAAGCAUCAAAUAACCUUUAGUUCCUUAUCUAAAUCCAAGGAAAAUACACUUGGUAUCCCUUGGAUCAAGUUUAGUUCUAUGAUGAAGCAAAGUGGAAGCAUAAGCAAGACAUCGAAAAACCAUUAAAUACAUAAAGUUAGGAGAUUGUUUAUAUAACAUUUCGAAAGGGGUCUUAUUACGUAAAACAGGAGGUAGUUAACAUGAUAAUAAGAAAAGCAACAUGAUUAAUAGUAGAAGACAAAAAAUUCUUUGGUAGUUUAGAGUGGAAAAUAAGUGAUCUAGUCCCCUAAUCCAUAAUCCAUAGAGAAAAAGGAUUAGAUACGAAACUUGUAUUAGAAAUACUUGAUACCAUGUGAUUGGAUUGAUCUGGAAUAGAAUUCUUGGUUUCGAAAGAAGUUACAACAUGAUAUUUAGAAUUAUGUAGCAGAUUAAUCAAAAUAUUAUAAUAUGUUUUGCUAAGAUAAUUGUUGGAAUCGUGUUGCUAUCUAGGUUAGGAGAGAGAAGGAUUCUUGCAACCAUUUGUUGAAGACGAAUUCGAAGAUUGUUUUUUACCAUAACUUAGUGGCAAGCCAUGAUUGAAAUAACAUGUGUCUACAAUGUGAUUAUUCUUAUGGCAUUGAGUAUUAAACAUGGAGGGCCGAGGUUGACCAUGAUGAUGCGAGAAUUUCCCGUGACCUUGACCUGAAUUUUUGGAAGUAUUGAUAUUAAAAAAAAAAACAUAAGUAUCAGGAGGAUUAUGGUUCGAAUUGGGGACAAGGUCUUAUUGAACAAAGAAAGAAUACACCUUGUUAAUAGAAGGUAAAUGAUCCAUGAAUAAAAUCUGUGUGUGAACGUUAUUGUAAUUUUUAUCCAAAACUUUUAGAAAACAAGUGAUAUACUAGCUUGCAAGAACGAGGAAUAGGGCAUAUGCAUGAUUGUGUUGGGCACAAAUCCUCCAAUUCACCCCAAAGAAUCUUCAAAUAGGUGAAAUAGGUAGACAAAGAACGUUCACCUUGUUUGAUUGAAUGAAGAUCACGAAGGAGAUAGGAAAAUCAAAAAUUAUUUCCUUUAAUGAAACGAUCAUGAAGAUCAUACCAUAACUCUGAUGGUGAAUCAAUGCAAACGGAGAACGUUAAAAACCCAAUAUUGAUUUUGGUUGUAAAAACAGAAAACGAAGAACAUCAUUGGUUCUCGAAACAGAAAAUGAAGAAUAUUCUAGGUUAAUUAAAAUCAAUAGUGUAUAUAUUUAACUUGAUAAACAAAAGGACUGAAAGUAAAUAGAGAUAACAGGAUAGAUAUCACACAAUGAUAUAUCUUAGUUCACCUAACUCGGGCUAUGUUCAGUCCUUACAAUUGUGAAAUUUUCCACUAAGCUUUCUAAUGGAGAACGUUCUUGGUUUUACACAGUUUUGUUCAGAUCAACCUUAAUAUGUAACAACAAUUCAUUUCCACUUAGAAAUGAUUCAAUUUGGUCACUUAUCAAUCUUUAGAGAGGAUUUUACAAUUCACCUUUUAACCAUAAAAAUGAUUUUCUACAAACUAUAAACAAUCCUUAUAGUCUUGAGUUUACACAAUGAUGAUUUAAAGAGAUUGGUAGAAUCUGAGUAUGUUCAAAUCGUGUUUGAGAAUAUAUUCUUGAUAAAAGAAUUCAUUAUAACAGUUCUCAUAUUUGAAGAAGAAAACAUAACUGAAUCUUUUGUUUAUGAUUGAGAAACUUUCAAGUAUAUAAUUGUAUGUAAGUGAUGGAUUUGUUAACACUUGAAGUUCUAUUUUUCCUUGAACUUGAAGUUCCUUUUAUAGGCUUCAAGGAGGUUGAUGACAACUACUUUGACCGUUUGAAAAUAUCCAAGUUGUCAUGUGUCAGAUUUGACCAAAUACCAUAAUUUUUAAAUCAUGAAAGUUUCUUAACUAGCUUCUCAUUAGACCAAAGGUUUCUCUCUCAUGAACCGAUGACAGGGUUGAGGAACACAAGAUUUUACAGCUAUGAAGACCUCAUUCUCAUCCCUUUAACAUAAAACAAUUAUAACAAACGAAGAAAAAACAACAACUUCCAAUUUUACAUGUUGGAUCAUCUCCCACAUUCCAACCCCUUGCCACACCGCCACACUUCAAGGGUCAUCCAAAAAAAAUUUCAAUUUAUUUCUGCCUCAUUAAAACACCAAGCACAAUACUUCUAACCAAAAAAAGGAAAAACUCCUAAAAGUGAUGUUUAUUUACGAAAAAAAUGAUUAUUUUUUAAAAAAACUUGUAAUAAAUAGGUACACUUUAUUUUCUUUUAAUUAGAAAUUUAAAAAUCAAACCAUUAACCUGACGAGCUGAAUAAACUAAUACAAUCCAAACGAAUUAAAUUAAUUUAUUUUGUAUUGGAGUCCAAAAUAUAUUAAAUAAAUCCUACUUCUAUUGGUUCAUAAAUCCUACUUUUAUAAAAUUGUCAUAGAUAAAUUAUUAGGGGCGCAACAAGACAAUCAAUGUCACCAAAUGAAUGUGUAAUUUUAAUUUUCAAUGAAAGAUUAAUUGUUGUUUUUUAAGUUUAUUUUUUAAUUAAUAUAAUGUACCUUAUUCUUAAGUUACAAUGAGAAAAUAAUGUUACAAUAAGAAAAUAAUAUCUAAUGGUAUUGGGUGAUGAGUACUAAAUGACAUAAAGUAAUUUUCUUGCCUAAAACAAACAUGACAAUUUUAGUGAUAAAAAUUAAUGUAAACACUAGAUGGUUCAUCAUAUAACAGUAGACCAUACUUUAUUUAACAUAGUAAGUGGGAAACAAAACAAUACAUAGAUGCAUGUUGCUAGUUUUCAUGGAGAUUCCAUGUUUCCAUAUCCUCAUCUCCUACGUUUAUUACCAUUUUCUCCUUCACCUUCGUCUUCAAUGGGUCCCUCACUAUUGUCGUCUUCUUCAACGGGUGGCUCACUAUUGUCGUCUUCUUCAACGGGUGGCUCACUAUUGCCGUAUCCCAUGCCACCAUAGUUGUAUGCCAUGCUCUGUGCCAAUCCUGAUGCCCAACCCAAUGCCAUAUCUCUCAAACUUCUCCAAUCUAUAUACCUUCUUAUUAAAGUACUAUAUUCGGUUUGCUCAGCUGCCACAAUACUCAUAAGAAGGGGAGCACACAGAAAGAACACUAAGAUAAAAAAUUUUGUUUUCAUCCUUGCUUAUAUUUCCUAAAAUUUGUUGUAAAUUAUGAAUAAUAUCCUCAGAUAUUUAUAGUGAUCACGCAUGGGAAAACUAAGAUAAUUUUAAAAGACAAAAACAUAUUAGAGAAAAAUAUAUUGCAUACUAAAAAAAAGACAAUAUGUAUUCCAUGGCCAAUUGGGAAGACAAUGGGUCAUCAAAAUCCAUUGAGCCACGGAAAGGUUAAAUAAGUUAGUAUAUGUUUGUCUUUUGGAUCAUGAUAAUUUGAGGAUUAAUUAAAGAGAUGUUGUAUCCAAUUAUUCUUUUUUUAAAAGUUGCUUUUGGUUAAUUUGUUUCAAAAAAAUAGAAUUUAAAACUACCGAGUUGUAAAGCGAUG
rnacentral:lncRNA from 1 species